rnacentral:rRNA from 1 species
CACGUAGGCACCAAGCGUUGUCCGGAUUUAUUGGGCGUAAAGAGCUCGUAGGCGGUUCGGUAAGUCGGGUGUGAAACCCCCAGGCUCAACCUGGAGACGCCACCCGAUACUGCUGUGACUAGAGUCCAGUAGGGGAGCGUGGAAUUCCUGGUGUAGCGGUGAAAUGCGCAGAUAUCAGGAGGAACACCAGCGGCGAAGGCGGCGCUCUGGGCUGGAACUGACGCUGAGGAGCGAAAGCGUGGGGAGCGAACAGG